rnacentral:rRNA from 1 species
UGAGUACGAGAUGCUACGGCGUCGAAGCAGUCUAUGUCAUACUUCCAAGAAAAGCUUGCACUGUCAUAAACAAAGAAUGCCUGUACCAUAACCGACACAGGUGGGUAGGUAGAGUAUACUAAGGGGCGCGAGAUAACUCUCUCUAAGGAACUCGGCAAAAUGACUCCGUAACUUCGGGAGAAGGAGUGCCUUAUUUUUAAGGUUGCAAUAACAAGAUCCAAGCAACUGUUUACCAAAAACACAGGUCUCCGCUAAGUCGUAAGACGAUGUAUGGGGGCUGACGCCUGCCCAGUGCCAGAAGGUUAAAGAAGUUGGUUAGCAUUCGCGAAGCUGAUAACUGAAGCCCUGGUGAACGGCGGCCGUAACUAUAACGGUCCUAAGGUAGCGAAAUUCCUUGUCGGGUAAGUUCCGACCCGCACGAAAGGCGUAAUGAUUUGGAUACUGUCUCGGAGAGGGGCUCGGUGAAAUAGACUUGUCUGUGAAGAUGCGGACUACCUGCACCUGGACAGAAAGACCCUAUGAAGCUUUACUGUAACUUGAGAUUGAAAUUGGACUUUAUUUGCGCAGUAUAGGUGGGAGGCGUUGAGAAUAAUCUUGCGGGAUUAUGGGAGCCAUCAGUGAGAUACCACUCUUGUAAUGUUAGAUUUCUAACUUUGUAUCAUUAUCUGGUCAAAGAACAGUUUCAGGCGGGCAGUUUGACUGGGGCGGUCGCCUCCCAAAGGGUAACGGAGGCGCACAAAGGUUUCCUCUGAACGGGUAGAAAUCGUAUCUAGAGUGUAAAGGCAUAAGGAAGCUUGACUGUGAGACCUACAAGUCGAGCAGGGACGAAAGUCGGUCUUAGUGAUCUGACGGUGCUGAGUGGAAAGGCCGUCACUCAACGGAUAAAAGUUACUCUAAGGAUAACAGGCUGAUCUCCCCCAAGAGUUCACAUCGACGGGGAGGUUUGGCACCUCGAUGUCGGCUCAUCGCAUCCUGGGGCGGUAGUACGUCCCAAGGGUUGGGCUGUUCGCCCAUGAAAGCGGUACGCGAGCUGGGUUCAGAACGUCGUGAGACAGUUCGGUCCAUAUCCGGUGUAGGCGUUAGAAUAUUGAAAGGAGCCUUCUCUAGUACGAGAGGACCGAGAAGGACAUACCUCUGGUGUACCAGUUAUCGUGCCAACGGUAAACGCUGGGUAGCUAUGUAUGGAGUGGAUAACCGCUGAAAGCAUCUAAGUGGGAAGCCCACCUUAAGAUGAGUAUUCUCAUC